CACCUGUGUGCUAUGUACUAACAGGAAGGCGGCCAUGGGAUGAAUCUUUCUAUGAUAGAAAGCCUUAACAAUCGUUAUUAUUCCGAUGGCGGCCGCACCGCCAGAGCCCGCUCCGGCGAAGAUGGUGAUGAGGCAGUGCUCCUUCAUCGAAAACGGACCCGGAUUGAGCGAAAAGGACCAAUUUGUAAAAGCUGAUUUGUUCUGUACCCAAAGAAUGUGUUUGCAAAGGAUAGUAUAACACAUGAUAUUACACCAAGCACCCAUGCACGCCAAGUUAGCACUGUGAGUGUUGGAUUGUCUGUUGGGUCCACAGUUAGUCUCACCUGCUCAAUGGGAUGGUCAUUCUCUUCAACUGCAAAUUGGCACAUUUGAUGGGUUAUUUUGAAAAUUAAUUCAGUUUUUCCGUCAAUAAGUUUUGCAAAUGGUACAUUAUUGAAAUAAUAAUGAUUAUGUGAUAGUAUUUGAUA